UACGUAGGGUGCAAGCGUUGUCCGGAAUUAUUGGGCGUAAAGAGCUCGUAGGCGGUUUGUCGCGUCUGCUGUGAAAACUCGGGGCUUAACCCCAGCCUGCAGUGGGUACGGGCAGACUAGAGUGCGGUAGGGGAGACUGGAAUUCCUGGUGUAGCGGUGAAAUGCGCAGAUAUCAGGAGGAACACCGGUGGCGAAGGCGGGUCUCUGGGCAACUACUGACGCUGAGGAGCGAAAGCGUGGGGAGCGAACAGG
rnacentral:rRNA from 1 species